rnacentral:rRNA from 1 species
UGGAUCGAUGAAGAACGCAGCCAGCUGCGAUAAAUAGUGCGAAUUGCAGACACAUUGAGCACUAAGAAUUCGAACGCACAUUGCGCUAUCGGGUUCAUUCCCGAUGGCACGUCUGGCUGAGGGUCGAAUUACGGUGAACUGUCUUCACGGUUUUUCUGGACUGUGAAGCAUUCGGCAAGCAAUUGCUGUUGUGUUGUUGGUGAUUCUAUCAUGGACAAUAUGACGAGCGGUUCCUUGCUUAGUGAUGACAAAAGAAGACGUCAACACCGAAUCUACUAUACUACUAAUACUAGUAUAUAGGUGAGGUGCUUUUGGUGGUCACAAAAGUGACAAGUAUGCCAUUUCAUAGGGGCAACAACCAGCAUACGUGAUAAGUUGGCUGGUUGAUGAAACGGCAACGGAAUGACGGACGUCUAUGUGAUCAAAAAUGAUACUAUUUGACCUCAGCUCAGUCGUGAUU